UGAUCACAAAUGUAAGCAUCAUUUCAACUCAUUCAACACUCAUAAUAAUGUGUGAGGUCCGUGGAAGAAAUGCUUCAACCAGGUGGCUGAAAGAUGGAGUAGCUUUGCAGAACAUGAACUUGACCUUGAUGGUUCAUGAACCAACUUGGAGGGACUGUGGGAACUACACUUGUCUGGCAACGAGUGAAGGGGGAAGUUCAGAAGCUCAUGUUAACAUUAACGGUGCAAUAUGUAAAAAAGACCCGGACAUUGGACAUGGAAAUGGAAUUUCAAUUUGGAUUAAGUCAGCUGUGAUUUGUGUGCUUGGUUUGUGCAUCAUUCCUAUCUGCAUCAAGAAGUACUUUGCAGGUACCUGCUGCAAUAAAUCACGGACUCCAGAAGACAUAGCACUUCAAGUCAUUGCUGAGGAACAGAAGACAGACACACCACCGAGCGCCCACACAGACCCAGCAGAAGCAGACACGCUAACUUUUGAAUGAGGCCAGAAGACAUUACAACACUCAUCCGAAAGGAUUUGCACACCAGACAUCAUUUCCUUUUUUUUAAAUAUUGCGAUCUGCUCAGUUCAAAAGUUUCAGUAUCUAUUUCUGACAUUGAAAUAUGAUGUGGCACAGCAGAAACGGAUAAACAUGAUUUCCUUUAAAAAAUAUCCCUUUCCCUAUUCUGAAAUUGAAAAUGUUUUA
ensembl:lncRNA